AUUGAACGCUGGCGGCAGGCCUAACACAUGCAAGUCGAACGAGUUGCGGACGGGUGAGUAAUGUCUGGGAAACUGCCUGAUGGAGGGGGAUAACUACUGGAAACGGUAUCUAAUACCGCAUACCAUCGGAUGUGCCCAGAUGGGAUUAGCUUGUUGGUGGGGUAAAGGCUCACCUAGGCGACGAUCCCUAGCUGGUCUGAGAGGAUGACGAGAGACACUGGAACGGAGACAGGGUCCAGACUGGUACGGGAGGCAGCAGUGGGGAAAAUUGGAAAAGGGGCGCAAGACGGAUGCAGCCAUGCCGCGUGUAUGAAGAAGGCGAUGGGGUUGAAAAGUACUUUCAGCGGGGAGGCGUUACACGCAGAAGAAGCACCGGCUAACUCCGUGACAGCAGCCGCGGUAAUAC
rnacentral:rRNA from 1 species